rnacentral:rRNA from 1 species
UACGUAGGGUGCAAGCGUUGUCCGGAAUUAUUGGGCGUAAAGAGCUCGUAGGCGGUCUGUCGCGUCUGCUGUGAAAACUCAGGGCUUAACCCUGAGCUUGCAGUGGGUACGGGCAGACUAGAGUGCGGUAGGGGAGACUGGAAUUCCUGGUGUAGCGGUGAAAUGCGCAGAUAUCAGGAGGAACACCGGUGGCGAAGGCGGGUCUCUGGGCCGUAAACUGACGCUGGAGGAG